rnacentral:rRNA from 1 species
CCUACGGGAGGCAGCAGUGAGGAAUAUUGGUCAAUGGACGAGAGUCUGAACCAGCCAAGUAGCGUGAAGGAUGACUGCCCUAUGGGUUGUAAACUUCUUUUAUAUGGGAAUAAAAUGUUCCACGUGUGGGAUUUUGUAUGUACCAUAUGAAUAAGGAUCGGCUAACUCCGUGCCAGCAGCCGCGGUAAUACGGAGGGUUCGAGCGUUAAUCGGAUUUAUUGGGUGUAAAGCGAUCGUAGGCGGAAUGUCAAGUCAGUGGUGAAAGCCCGGGGCUCAACGGUGGAAUUGCCGUUGAAACUGGUAGUCUUGAGUGCAGGAGAGGUGAGUGGAAUUCCUGGUGUAGCGGUGAAAUGCUUAGAUAUCACGAAGAACUUCGGUGGCGAAGGCGGCUAACUGG